GAAAGUCACGAAUGUGAAGCCAGCUGUAAUGCAUGGAUGGUUAUGUUCUUGUCUGGAUAAGGCGAAUUAGCUUUCAUUGACAUUAUUAUGGGCAAAUAUGUCUAUCUGAAGAUAUUAAAAAAACAGUUUACGAAAAAGUGCUGAAAAAUGAGGGUAUCAAACACAUUCGAGAUUUACCAGGGCAAUAACACUAAACAUAAGGCUUGCAUUGAGCAGGAAUAUUUGUUGUAAAAUUGCCCAAUAGUCGAACAACCACCAUGUCCAUAAACAUACCUCAACCCUAUUGAGACUGUAUGGGGAGAAUUAUAGCGACCUAUUACAAUGACGCCAUUAAAUUCCAAAAAACUUUGAAGCGUCCAUUAAAAGAAAAAUGAGACGGUCUAUGUUCUGAAUAUUUUAAAAAGAUCAUUAACAGCAUGCGGCAGAGUUUGAAAGAAGUGAUACAACAGAAUGGCUACCUGGCAAUAUAUGGAAACAUAUUUUUUACAAAAAUUUGUCUUAAAUAAUUAGUUCUGAGAAAUGUUCGAAUAUGAAAGUGACGUGAAAAUAGGCCCGAGUGUUAUUAAAGUUGUAUUAUUAAAGAACUUUCGUAAGUUAUGUUAGUCUAUGCUAUUAUUUCCGAGACAUUUUACUUAAUAUAGUACUUGAUUAUGGUUUUCGUUGGUAUUGUUAAGAAUAUCAGUAUGCUACUACAAUAUAGAAGUCUCAUAGUAGCCCAGUACGUUACUCACUGUAUAUAAAUAUUCUUCAGUGCCCGACGUACCAAUUGCAUACGAACGUGUAAGAUAAUAAGUUGUUGAUAAAUGCACACAGAUGCAUAUACAAGCACUCAUUUGUCCCAAGACUCCACCCAUGAAUAAAACAAAUCUUGAAUGUAUGGUACAGUAAGCUAAAUAAGCCUUAUGCGAUAACUUCGUAUAACGAACACAUAGAACAACUGUGCAUGUAAAUCACUGAGCUCACUGCUGCCACCGAACUCACAAGGAAUACAAUCACUUUACAUCUCCAGUGAGUACUUGUCACUGCAGUAAUGCCAUCGUUAUAUCUUUCGAGCAUGUGAUUAUGGCAUUGGCAAGAUGUGGGUGAUGGGAGUAGACAUAGUACAUUCGUAAUGUUGAUAGCAGAGUCAACAUUGGUUGUGACGUAAUCAAUACAAUUAUAAUUAGCGAAAUUAAUGUAAUAGACAACAUGUACUGUCUACAGUGGUUAAUUCCAGUAUUAUUAAUACCAAAGCCAAUAAAUCCUGCGUUGAUACAUACGCACGUCAUGUUCAUGGUGUUAUAUUUGAUUGGUUUUUUCCUAGAAAGGAAACCUUGUACUAUAUGCAGCUUAGUUUUCAUCGCAGCUGUGUUCCUAAUUUGCUAUAGUGGUGUCGGUAAUUGUUUGUUUUGGAGUACUAACUGUGACACAGUUAGAUGUGAAAAUGGAUGAAGAGCAUUUUGAAAACAUUAUGUUAGCAAGUAAUACGACUGCUGAACUAUAUUCCACGUUCUGAAAAAUGAAAAACCAGCUUUUUGUGCAGUCGUCAUUACCGUCCAUACUUUGUUUUGUUAACCUGUACAUGCGGAACACGGUUGAUGACGAUCAUGAUAGUGAUUUUUACUUACAAAAUAAAUUCUUGCCAUCAUGUGAUUAUACAGCCACAACAGUCGUUGAAACGACACAUCCCUCCAAGUGGAUCGUGGGAAGAACAGCGAGGACAAUUAUUAUGCCUCCAUUAUGGACUUGGUUACACUGUCACACUUUGAAGCUCGUGAAAGUUUACCUGUUGCAUGUGUUACCUGUAUACAAGACCUGUGGAGAACAUAUGAAAAGUCAUUACUGCUCAAUAAAAUGAGAUAUUUUUUUAUUUUCGAAUGUGUACUUGUUAUUUAGAGCAGUGGCAAUUGACAUGUUUCUGUUAUCCACAAAUAAAGCCUAUGACUUGUUUUA